GAAAACCAGUUUUUUGAAGAGUCUCAAGGGCCAUUCUAUGGACCAGGAAUCGCUGAUUAGCAUAUUAUUGCGAUGAAAAUUGCGACCUGCAUCUUUCCCGCCGCACGACACCUGCAUACUCGAGGCGCCUCGGCGAAAUGCUUGUACCACGCAUAAUAUGACAUAUAUUUUGAUGAAAAAAUUAGAGAAGACUCUUGAAAUAUAUAACAAUAAAACCUGAAA